rnacentral:lncRNA from 1 species
UGAUGUCGAAUGUCCAAGUAGUGUUCUUACAGAGGACCCAGAGCCAGAGGUCAUGGACAUGGAUCAAUUGGAAGCAGAACUUGAGUCUGAAUUGCAAAAACUUCCAUGGUGCUCUACAGAAGCUCCUCAGCAAGAGGGGUUCAGAAAUCUGGAAAAGGUCAGUCUUUAAUGUCAAAUACAUCCUAUUUGAAAAUGUUGAAUGUUCCUUUAUGCUGUUGCUAUCAACUACAUCUAACAAUUAGCUUAUGCUAUUUAUAAAAUAGUGGACAUAAAUUCAGUGUUUUUGGAUCAUGCAUGUUCAGCAGUCAUUGAAACUGAUCAGCACUAGAGUAGUAGGGUUUUAAUUACACCUUUGAUGUACCAGAGAGUGACAACCAUAUGUUGUAAAUCUAGAAACCUUCUGCUAAUGCCUGAUGUGUAUCUUAGCAUUGCGCUUUUGCUAUUUUUCUUCAACUCAAAAAAGAAACUAUAACUGUGAAAAUCAAAUUGUGCAUUACACAUUUUUCCUUUCUGACAAAAUUGCUCGUUCCCAUUUUAGGGUUUUGUCUCUGAUGAUUCAGCUCAAAAGUUUCAUGGACAAGCAGCAAAGGGUAUUGUUAUUGAGCAAUUUCAAGGAGUAUUACCAGCUGAGCUAGACCAGAAAUUAUGCCAUGUGCUCAUUGAACAGCAGGAAAGCCAAAUUGUGGAGCUGGAAUCCGGACUGCAGUCUGCCCAAUCGAAACUCCAAGAAAAAGAAACUGAACUUCAAGCAUUGAAGGAC